rnacentral:lncRNA from 1 species
CCCAAGGUCGGGCUGUGCCGCUAUCCCCUAGCAGUCGCGACCACCCAAGCCACUGCCUCCCCUCUCUGCCCUCUAGAAUGAGUCCCUCACCUCCUUCUCUUUCACCUGGUACCCUUGGCUUAGCCCCUAGGGAACCGAAGCUCCCCUCCUCCGAGCUCUAGUGCUGCCUCCCCUUUCUCCCAUGGCGGUCUAGAGUCUGGACCCGAGGUGGAAGAAGAUUGAGGCGCCGUUGCUCUGGUACCGCUCCAUCCCAGCCCCCCUCUCUCAUUGUGCCAACAGGGCCCACCCAGGGGUGACUGGGUCACCCCCCUUCCGUCACCACAAUCCCCAAACCAGCGCCACCUCUCUCCCUGGGCAUGCUCUAGUGGACCAAAGGCCCAUGCUGCGCUGCUCCACCAGUCCAUGACGCCGAUCCACCAAACAGUAGCAGCCGCAACCCCACCCCAUGCGCCAGCCCCAACCAAAAUGCUAUGCACACCCGGCCAUGUGUACACCAAUAUCUACUUAGAGCCCUUCCUCUUAUCCAAAAAUUCCCAAUUAUUUACCAAACAUACUAGAAAUUAUUCUAAACCUAGCCAUGCCUUCCUUUUCCAUAGAUCAUUCCAUAUGAGCCCUUUUCCAAAAUACUCUCCUCUCGCAUAAGAAAGCUGUAACAACCUAGAUUAACUCAACCGAGUUUAAUCUUAAGACAAAUCCCCUAAUCCGGUUGACUCAACCUUUCGUGAGCUAAGUCUGGUUUUCAGCCCAACCUAGCACCUUAGGGAGGGUUUAUCUUUGGAAAGUUGAGUAGAACGCCAAGAAAACUCUUUAUAGAAGUUGGAGAAUGAAGUCCCUGCUCUAACUUUGUUAAUUGGACCUUAAUCCAAUUCACCUCCGAAGAUCCCCAAAUCUGCAGCUCAAAUCAGCCCCGACCCCUGAAACCUAGCAAACCGUCGUUUUCUCUAUGUCCCGAAACCAGUGUUCCUUUGAAUUUUGGAGCCUUGGAUCCCCAAAUCCACUGCAUUUUUCGACUCGGUUUGAUUACAAGAGUUGGGCCUUGGCCUGAGUACUACAACUCUUGUUAUGGGAGUCAAAGUGGUGAAGAUUGGAAAUUGACCCAGAAAAAGGAUCCCGCGGAUCUCUUGGACCAAGCGCGCUAGAGCGCGCGUGCGCCUUGUUUCAAAGCGCCGCCGCCGCAUGGCAUAACCUCACUGGCGAGCGCUGCCUCGCCCAGUCGUUGGCUGCGACAACAUGGAUCAGCGCGCCUAUUUCCCAAUCACGCGCAGAAGCGCCCUGCAGACUUUUUCGCCCCGUCUCGUCUCACCCGAGACCUCGCCGGCCGCGCCAGGUGCCCUGCCACCGCUGCGACCAAAGAUUGGCCACUGCCGCGCCAGUACUGCCUCACCUCCCGCGCGCAUCGCCUCGCCAGGAUCCCCGGCCGGGCACCCCAACACCUUCCGGCCUUUCCGUCAUACCUCAGUCGCGCUGCCCACGUGCACGCCCCGCAACGAUACCAUCUUCGCUAACCACCGCACAGGCAGUGACAACUCCCUUUCCCCUGCCUCGCCAGUCGUGUGCCGCGGCAGAGCUGCUAGUCCGCGCAUGCUUACGUCGUGUUGCUGGCCCUGUCACCUCACCUGCACUGCCCCUCCCUCCCUCCUGUCCGCCAAUACCGAGUCACCGCAACCAAUCCGGCGCUUGACGCGACUAGACACGCGCUCGACCUCGCCAAUCCUUCUGCCCGGCAAAACCGCGCUUGCCUAGCACUGUCUUCCCUGCCCAAUGACCGAAGAAUCCUGUCCCCGGAGCUCCGCUUCGCCGGCCAAUGGAGAUGCCGACCAAUCGCCGCCGCGGCAGAGCACUCCAUUCUCUCUCGAUCUUAUCCUCGCGCCGCUCGAACUCAUUCACUUCCAUGCAGCUAUAAAAGGGGUACCGAAGCCUCUUACCGGAGUUCCCUUUGCCACCACCACCCUUGCCGCCCUUGCUUGCUUGUUCUUCUCCAGCGCACUCAUCGCCGCACACUCCUCUGCUUCACGCGCCAGUGCUGCCGCCUGAGCUCUCUGUGGAGCUCCCCUUCUGCCCAACACCCCCGGCUGCUUCGCCUUCCUUCGCGCUGUGCUAGAGCUUGCUCGUUGCCUACAAGAAGCGCCGCCGCCACCGGAACACUGCCAGACCUCGCCGCCGCCCGAAACUUAGCGCCUUUCGUCGUUCCGCCUGAGCUUGCUUCUUCUCGACCCCAAGUUUUUGUCAGUAGGACCAAAGGUGAGCUACCGACCCCUUCCAGCUCGCCCGACCCUGUCCGUUUUGCCUGACCCUAUCCGUUUCGUCCGACCCUAUCUGUUUCACCCGACCCCUGUCUGCCUCGCCCGAGGGCUUGGCUGUAUCCUUUUCUUAUAACUGAGGGUAUCUGUGUAAAAUUUUAGGGACUUCUCUGUGUUAAGUCUGAGGACCCUGGUACAGUUAUUCCUCAGGUCUAAGGGUCAGAUCGUAAGUUUUCCCGGUCUGACUCUUUAUCUUGUUCUAAAUCAACAAAAGCUUGGGAAAUUCAUCAUAAAUCGAGGAAAAUCAGAAAAAUAUGAAAUCAUUUGGGUUCGAAUAAUGUUUCUGAGUAGAAUCCAAUAAAGCAGGUUUCACACUUUUCCUAUAGUUUUGCUACAGUUUUUGGGCUAAAUCCUUGCAAGUGUUGUUGAAAUAACCGUCUAAGUGUUUUAACCCUUGCAUUUGCAUUCCAUGUACAGCUAAACCUCGCUCACGGCACGUAUGAGCUGCACCCGGUGCUAGAAGACGAAGUUGUAGCCGAGCUGCCGCCUGCAGGAGCUGAAGCCGAGAGCGCUAAAGACCAGUUCGCUUCCACCCUGCUCGAAGGCAAGCCCCAGAGCAUAACCCAAUUUUUCUAAACUUGCGCAUGUCUUUCUUUGUAUGUAUGUGCAUUUACGUUAUAGGAGUUGUUUGAAACCAUAGAUGCAUGACUUAGUUCCCUUGAUCUGAACACUAGUAUGAUAGACCGAGUAGUUGCAGUGCUUAACUGGACUCGGUAAAAGUCGAGUGAUUCCCUGUCACUCGCGAGUUAUAGGAGUUGCUUGUUCUCCUUUGUCACCACUAUAAGGACGAUGGACGGGGCAGGGCCUUGUGAACUAUUUUGCUGGUCGGUGGAUUGCCCCGUCUGUCUACAUGAAAUUGAGUAAGGUCAGAAAGUGUUGGUGUUCGUGAUCAAGUGUUUGAAAGUACUAAUCUCAUACCUAGUAUGGGAUGGGGAAGCCUAGUACCUGGUUGAACUAGGGCGUGGCUUAUACCCCUGCUAUCCUUGGAACGAGGUUCCCAUGGUGCAUCAUGUGGGUGCAAGUGUGCUCACAGUACGGCAAGAGAUCGGGACUGUGGAGCAUUGCAUGCCAAGGGAAGUUUGGACCUGACACGCGCCUGGGAAUUGAUAGGGACGGCUGACACAGGAAGCGACCCUCUGUGGUGCGUGGAUGUCGUGAGAUUAGGUUCGCCAUGCAUGGUUAAGAAAUUCGAAUCGAUUCGUCUGCCUCUCACAGUUUGGGACUGCUUGAUCGUUAUGCUACACUGAGUAAAGAUGGAACAGGAUGAUGAUAUUAAUCUUGAUGCUGGUUCUUUAAAUUAUUUGGAAACUAUGUUUGCUUAGCAUAAGUUGGUAAUGUAGAUUGGUUAAUGAACUUAGAAUCUGAGCUAAAAUAUUGAAAGUAAGGAUAUAUUGUAGUCGCUUUUGGCAAAAUAAACCCCUCAGCCAAAGAGCCUUGCAUGUCUAGAAGGUGGUGGAGUAGUUUUCCCACCAGUCGGUUAAGUCUUGUUGAGCGUAGUCGCUUAGCCUUGCUUGUGGCACAUCUUUCAGGUGUUGUCGAAGUUCCUGAGUUUGCUGUUGUUGGCACUUGGCCUCCCCAGCUCUCGCCUGGGUGGACGGUCGAGUGGGAUCCCUCCUCGGACGGUGAGGAUAGGGAUCAGUGAUGUCAUGAUCAGCCUCAUCAGUGACAUCCGACCCCGGCGCUAGCCUUCGUGGUUUAUCUUUUCCGCUGCUUAUGAACUCUGUAAAACUUUGAUUUUCGAACCAGUGUUGUAACAAAUUGAUGUACUUGUUUAAGUUGGAUGAUCUGUUGUAUUCUCUGGAACCACUCACCUUCAUGUGAGCUUUGCUAUUUCGGUCCUGUGUAGUGGUUUUAUCGGAUGAAAUCCGACGGACUGCCGAGUUAACUUGAUUAAAGCAUAUGAUCACGUGUCAGGAAACUUAAUUGUGCUUUAGCUAAGUUAAUCCGGAUGGUUCCACCACAAAAACCCUUUACAGUGUACACCAAAUGUCACCUUUCUAUAUUAAGGUCUUAAGAGCCCCAACCUCUUAGGAAAAAUGUCGUACCGCCUCCACCCACAACCAUGCCCUAACCCAUAGGUGCCGAACUAGAUCGAAGUCAAGUGCACCAUGCGGCCUUUAGCCACUAUUACCCGUGACUAUAGCAGCACCCAGCUGGCUAUUCCUCGCUAUCCUAUAAUCAUCGCUAACCCCUAUCACUGCCACGCGUAUGCCUGUUCUUGUACCAGCCCGUCUAUUGCCAUGUGUGCUAUCCUCUAGCACCGGGACAAAGUGGUGUCCAUCAUACAAGCUCUCUGGCUUUUGUUUCACAUGAGCUUGCUUGACUGAGUCUGUCGCCAUAUGUACUAUGCCCUAGUGCCGGGACAGACCAACAGUCGCACAAGCUCUCAAGUGUCAUUCCACAAAUCCCUAGUGACCCCUUAAGGAUCUACUCCAAGCCUCUGGUCCAUCCCGCCACGCAGUCGUUGUGGUGCCCAAGUUAAAACCCCAAAUAUCAUCCUAACCUAGUCGUUAUAAUACCCAACCAAAACCCUAAUCUUAAACCCCAUCUAGCUAUAGUGCUGGCCAUCCAAAUCUCAAAUUAUCAUCCAAACCCAGCAGUUAUACUGCCUUUCCAAAACCCUAGGAAAAUGCGCUCAUAAUUUCUUAGAAUUCUUUUAGAAAUCUAACCAUUCUAUCCAUUAAUUAUUUAGAAACUUAUUUCUAAAUAAUUAAUAAACCAUUUAUCCUUUUUUCUGGGAAUUCACCAUUAAAAGUCAGGUAAUUCCCAGAACAUCCAUCCUCCUCCUUUCAUCCCAUUUCUUAGAUAUUUGAUUGAUGUAUUUUUAGAAUUGAUUGUUAUUUUAUAUGCCUAUAACGCCGAUUGAUGACCAGGCUCCACCCUGAAGCCGAGGAUCUAGAAGGAUGAGAAGUCAAGACCCUGGUCGACCUAAGAAAUGUUAAGGAAGCGUCAAUGAAAGAAAGUCCUAGCACCAACCUCCUUGAUCAUAUUUCAUCUUAUGUUUUUAGAAAUAAUAAAAAUCUACCAAGAUAAUAAUUUGACCUGCAUGUUCUAUAAAGUUAUAGGAACAACCCACCUCUAUUCACUCUCUCACCUUAACUUGAAGCCAUUUCUAGCCCAAAAUCCCAUUAAUGACCCCGAUCACGACUAGAUCGAUGACCGAGCAUCAUUUAGAAAUAUAAUUCUUUAGGAAUAUCAUAAUCAUUAUGUUUUAGUAAUUUAGAUGAGAGUUUAAGUAAACAAUCAACCAAUUAAAGAGUUAGACCCCUUUAAGGACAUGAUAAGGAAGUAAGGGGACAGCUUCGGUAGAGGAUGCUAUCCCAAAAGCUUACUUCGGUCGCAUAAGGACCGGCUCAGGGAAAGUCUCUCUAGUGAAAUGUGUGACCAUACAUGCUAAAAAGGUACAGCCUACGGGAGUGCCUUUUUAUGUGAGGCUUUGAUUCACACCCCGCUAGCUGAACAUCGAAAUCUAUCCCAAGGGGGCCAUGGUGGGCAACAGAGAUGCUGGAGCAGGACCUUCGCAUAGUCCCAGGUCUGGUCGACACGGGUUAACUGAUAGGGUCCGAGACCCUGAGGGCAGAGGCCUUGCUUACUUUGUGCACAUUUUUCCGGGUUCAUAUCCGCAUAGCGGAUGAUAGUCACCCCUAUUUAGACCCCAGCAUAUCCGUGGAUGGACUUAGGGAAUGCUGCCUAGAAAUAUGCAUGGGCAGGUAUGGAUCUUGUAGGCUAGUACCACCUUUCACGAAGGUAUGGGCUGAUUGGGGUUUAGGGUAGACCUCUGCGCAGAGUCAUAAUCUAUCUAGAUAGCCGAGGCUCACGGUUACGAGCUACACACCUCUGCGCAGAGUCAUAAUCUAUCUAGAUAGCCAAGGCUCACGGUUACGAUCUCACAUAAUUAAAGUUCCCGUCAGUUAGCAAUCAUAACUUAGGGAUGGUGAGUAAGGCCCUACAGCGGUUAACUUAAAUGUCGAGGUCCUUUUCAUCACAUCAAGUCAUGUAUUGGGGGGUAUAAAGGAAGCACCAUACAUGUGCCUGCCUCAUCUGGGCAUUACGCACGAGCACACGACCCUUGCAUGAAUGGUCGGACAAAAAUUUAUCCUUGCGGUGGCACGGAGUUCCUUCUAUAGUUUUACUUUUUGGUUACUAGGCCUAUUAGUUUGUGAUGAGAUAUGGAAAUUUAAUUAAUUUAAAUCGUAAUUACGACAUGAGACGUGGUAGCUCUCAAUACGUAUGCCUUAUUAGCUACUGUAAAAAAAAUACAUACAGUUUGAGCUAGGGUUUUGCCUCUCUCCAGAAUCCUUUCAUCUUUGUGGGGGAGGACUAAUAAGGUUUUCAGAAGCACUCCACACUUCUGCUCAAAUUCAUCACGAUGCCUUAUCCUUCCCUUUACAUGGUCCCCCACACUAUUUCAUUAUCUUCACCACUGGUUGCUGCAACCCGUCUUCAAGAACACCAUCAACAUCAAUGCAUCUACACAGCCAUGGCUUCGAUGUCUUUUAACGUUCAGUAUGUGUGUCUUGUUGUGAACCACCCAGUCAAUCAUAUUUUCUAAGACAAUGAUGAUGAUCGAUGUUGUUGUUGGUUGUUCCCUAGCUAGUCUGUUAAAAACUUGCAUGCUAGUUUUUGUGGUAGUCAUGUUUUAUCUUUGGAAUUUAGUUUUGCAAUUGCCUAAUUAUUUAACAAUGUAACCACAUGUACCACAAGAAGACGAUAGAGAGUUUUUUUAGGUCACGGAAAAGAUUAUAUUUACUGCUACAAAACAAAUUAUUCCAACACCAUUUUCCACGCCAGUUGAAAAAACCCAGCGGUGAUAUAUUUUCACUACAGGGUUGAAGGUAGGCGGUCGUAUCAGACAACCGAGCUAGUAGUCAAAACUGUGAAGCUGAAUCAGCAGUGUCGCUCAUUGCGAGCGCUGCUGGCGCGCGAUGGGGCCAAGGUGUGAGAUGUGCUGCCGUGGGAUGGGGCCACGUGCAGGAGCCACGGCGCACAUGCACGUCUGCGUGAGCUUUUUUGUCCCUUUUUCUUCUCUAUUUUUUCCAUUCAAUCUUUUUUUAUACUAUUCAUACUCAUGUAAAAUAUUUUUGAUGUACAAUUCAUGUGCAUAAAAUGUCUAACAACAUUCUUGCAGAUGUUGUGGCAAACGUUGUACGCCUAAGUUAUUCACGUCAUGAAAAACUACGCUAUAAAAUUAUCACAUAACAAGUUAUUAGAAUAGACAAGCAUAUGUAUAAAUUGUGUGUAUAAGUUACCUUGUAAAACUGGAAAUUCGAAAUUGUCCUUUUUAAAGUUGUAUGUAAAAGUUAUGCGCAUAAAUUAUGCAGGCUAUUAAUAUUGUGCUAACAAAUUUUCCGGUAAGAAUUUUUUGAGUAACGUUAUGAGUUAUAGUUAUAUGCAUAAAUUAUGACAUUUCAAAAAUAAAAAGUUGCGUGAAUUAAAUUUUUUCAAAAAGGGAAAGUUCGGAUGGAGUGGAGCAGUUGUCAGAAAAUAGUUAGCUGGGUUAGCUGCUAGAGCGCGCCUGUUAGCAUGGCUAAGUGAAAACCAUUAUCAUAGCCAGUUUGUGUCUCGAGCCAUGCGGAUUGUCACCGCCGUCCCGUGCAUCGAACUGGUGAGUACCAAACCAAAUAAAAGCUAAAGUAUAUAUAAACCCCCCUCCCCUCUUCUUCCCCGCGAGCUCCACCCUUCUUUCACCAUUGUUGCAGCCGUUUAUCUCCAAAUUACUCGUGGAGGAUCCUGAUUUUUGAAGGAUGGACAUUUUAGGCUGCAAGGCAGAGGGACAAUUGCCGAGAAAUCAGUAUGUGCUGAUGACCUUAUUGCUUUCAGGCAAGCACAUUUUGUUAUCCUUCCACAAACCGGUCGUAGUUUCACCAUAUCAAUAUGCACCGGCAGUAACUAGAAUCACAAAACAGUGGCAAAGGAAGUAGCAUGGCUCGCGAAACAGCACAUAGAAAACUUUGACAGCUGGUUACAAGAUUAAUUGUUUGAUGGGUGUUGAUACCAGUUCUCGUUAGCUAGAUCUAUUGGCCAUGGGACCACCCGAUACAGUGUUGAAGCCAUUUACACUAGAAAACGAGACAAAAUAGUGUGAACCACUAAAAAAUAGUGGAUUGGAAAUCCAAAGUUCCAACUUUCAAGGACAGGCUGAAUCUCUCAAGGAUCUCACAAACACCGUGUACCCAAUCAUGACCAGGUCCUAAUUGUAAAUUUAUUGCAAGCUAAUAACUUUGGAUUUACUGCACAUAAUUCUUGUAUUUAUGUAAUAGUUUAAUCUUCAUCCUCAGGUGAUCAACCAUCCCAGAUGGUGCAAACUCAUGUUGUAUUGCAAAAUCAUUUCUAGUCUUCUGGAUCCAACUACUGCUGCAUUUAAUUAGACACUUCAGAUACAACAUCUCGCCUCGUCCGGUGUGUCGCAAGCAUCCAAAUUAAAGGAAUCACAGUAGCCAUAUUGUGCAAGCAACAGCUAAUCUACUUGAAUUGGUGUGCAUGAGUGCAUCCAUGUGAAUGGUAAAUGAGAAGACGAGUAACUAUUGUUCUCAAAUAUACAAGCACUAUUUUCUAUUUAUUUAACAAAAUCAAAGGAUAUGAAAAUCUAGUUACUGUUAAAGAAAGACCUAUGUGCACUGUGUAACUUAUCUUUAGAAACCACUUGCUCCAUCAAUUCAUACCAAUGCUUCGAUCUUGGGACCAAUUUGUCCAGUCUGUACAUUAAACCAGUACAGCUUGAGGUACUACAAGUUAAUGUGUGCAUACUCGAGGCCCACUUUCUAGAUCUGAUGCUGGCCGGCAAAAGGUAGGGUAUUUUUCUACCGUUAUCCGCAGUAGGAUCCCGGUAACAUCUGUACUUCAUUCUUUAUGAAGCUCGUCCUUGCAGUACCAAAUUCGCCAGUUCACGUGUCUUCAAGAUUUGAAUUAAACCAACACCUCUUUCUUGCAAGUACAAAGCAAAGAUCUACGCGAACAUACCAUACAAAAUUACUAAAGUACAGGCUAGAUGAUAAUAAUAAUAAAUAAUUAAAAGAACAAAAAGAAUCUAAUGAAUCAAGUAUGGUGAACCAUCCAUACUGUACUAUUUUGUAGAAUUCCAUUGUUCCAAAUUAAC